ACACAUGCAAGUCGAACGCUGAAGCUCCAGCUUGCUGGGGUGGAUGAGUGGCGAACGGGUGAGUAACACGUGAGUAACCUUCCCUUGACUCUGGGAUAAGCCCGGGAAACUGGGUCUAAUACCGGAUAUGACCUCCUGUCGCAUGGUGGGGGGUGGAAAGAUUUAUCGGUCUUGGAUGGACUCGCGGCCUAUCAGCUUGUUGGUGAGGUAAUGGCUCACCAAGGCGACGACGGGUAGCCGGCCUGAGAGGGUGACCGGCCACACUGGGACUGAGACACGGCCCAGACUCCUACGGGAGGCAGCAGUGGGGAAUAUUGCACAAUGGGCGCAAGCCUGAUGCAGCGACGCCGCGUGAGGGAUGACGGCCUUCGGGUUGUAAACCUCUUUCAGUAGGGAAGAAGCCUUCGGGUGACGGUACCUGCAGAAGAAGCGCCGGCUAACUACGUGCCAGCAGCCGCGGUAAUACGUAGGGCGCGAGCGUUAUCCGGAAUUAUUGGGCGUAAAGAGCUCGUAGGCGGUUUGUCGCGUCUGCCGUGAAAGUCCGGGGCUUAACCCCGGAUCUGCGGUGGGUACGGGCAGACUA
rnacentral:rRNA from 1 species